CCUUCAGUGUGGAGUUGCCCUUCAUAGCAGCAACCAUCUCAGGCAGAAAUUGGGCUGGGCGCUUCUCAAACAGACGGCAGAAGGAGAAGGAAGACAGGCUACUCAGACACAAGCAAAGUAUGCAGAGUGGUGGGAGUGGGGACACAAGAACUAAGGGAACAUAGAGCAGGGGAAGUAAUCCAGUCUAAAGGUAACCAGCAAACUGAUGUCUGCUGUUUUGUGCUAUGCCCACAAGAAGCAUCAGUCAGGGCAGAGACACAAAAUUUAGAAGAUAACAGUAUGGUGAGGCAGCAUGUGGCUACCAGCUGAAUGACAGGCCCAGACAGUAGCAGGUCUCUGGAUUUCUGGGUUCUGAGUAGUUUUCUGAAGAAACUGGCCCUGAAGGAAGUAAGUUUUGGAUAGAGGGAGAAGACAUAGUCAAGAGUCACAGUGAGCUGGGAGUGGGGGCUCACACCUGUAAUCCCAGCACUUUGGCAGGCCAAGGUGGGCAGAUUACCUGAGGCCAGGAGUUUGAGACCAGCCUGGCCAACAUGGUGAAACCCUGUCUCUACUAAAAAUACAAAAAUUAACUGGGUAUGAUGGCACACGCCUGUAGUCCCAGCUACUCAGGAGGCUGAGGCAGAAGAAUCACUUGAACCCAGGAGACGGAGGUUGCAGUGAGCCAAGAUCACGCCACUGUACUCCAGCCUGGGUGAUACAGAAAGACUCUGUCUCAAAAAAAAAAAAAAAAAAAAGUUGUAGCUAGGAGAGUGCAAGGCCUGAAUGGGAUGCUUGCUUGUCUGGCUAUGUGGGGCUCAGGAAACAGCUCUAGAGGACAGGGCGUUGAAGGCCACAUUAUGGAAAGGCGGCGGGAUGUUUUAACUUCCUAUAGGCCAUAGAGAGCCUAAAAACUAUGGGGAAUGACAAUGACCCAAUAGGGAAUACUUUAAAAUAAUUAAUGGGUGGGAAUGGGGCAGAAAAAGAUAACCAAAUCCCACAGGAUGGUCUAGGAUCCAGGAAGGUUAGAGUAGUUGCUUAAUGCCACAGGCAAAUAAUUCCUUGGACUAUGCAGGCUCCUAUUGAUUCACUCAUUCAGCUAAACUACCCAGUGCCUACUAAAUAUCGUUUUUUGCUAGACACUAGUGAGCAGCACACUGGUUUUUUUUUUAGCUCGAUAAUGCAAAGGAUGGGUACCUAGUCCAGAUUACAUUAGUAAAGGCACUCCAGCUGAGUCCUAAAGAACAUAAAGGAGACAGGCUAAAAUUUAGGACGGAUGAUUGUGGCAGAGGAAACCUGGCAUAUGUAGAGGCCUGAGGGAGAACAAAAAAA